GACAGAGGGUGCAAACGUUGUUCGGAAUUACUGGGCGUAAAGCGCGUGUAGGCUGUUCGGAAAGUCGGAUGUGAAAGCCCCGGGCUCAACCUGGGAAUUGCAUUCGAGACUGAAUAGCUAGGGUACGGUAGAGGGAAGUGGAAUUUCCGGUGUAGCGGUGAAAUGCGUAGAUAUCGGAAGGAACAUCAGUGGCGAAAGCGACUUCCUGGACCAGUACCGACGUUCAGGCACGAAAGCGUGGGGAGCAAACAGG
rnacentral:rRNA from 1 species